GAAGCAAAGAAUUCUAGUCACGAUGAAGUCCUUGCCAGUGGGCUAAUAUCUGACCCAACGUUCUCCGGAAGAAGAGGAUGGGCGAUUCUCGAGGCUGGACAGCUGCUCUCCUCCCAACUCCAUUUUCCAGGGCUCAGGCAGGCAUCCAUCACUGGGCAGAGAUCUAAGUUCCACAUCUCGGUUCAGCCCCAGGCACCUCCCACCUCACUCCGCGCAGCGGAGCCAUCUGUUCCAGUCCUGCAACUUUGGGGGCUCCUUGGGUGAUGCUUGGAUGGAUCUUUUGGCUUUGACUUCUUCUAACCGCCUCUCCAAUGGCGCCUCUCGAUUGUGCCCAAGUUGGGGUGAAAAGCAGCCCAAGAGCAGGACUAAGCUGCCACCCUGCCUGGUGGAAAUUCAGAUUUCAUCCUUCGGCGUCCCUCUUGCCCGUCAUCGUCGCCCUAGAAGAGGCAUCUUUCCGGGAGGGCCAGGCCAGGGCGCCGAACGGGAGCCGCGAAUCUGUUCAGAACAAGCGACUCCUGCUCACGCUGAAGAUGGUUGUACUAACCUAACCCUCUGUCUCCAAUUAAGAGGUAAUAGAGAAAAAUCAGCGCAAGACACUCCUGGUUCUCCAACUCUCGGCUCUUGGCAUUGCUGGUUCCCAUGGAAGCAGCAUAGAAUAGCAGACAGAGGAGGAGCCUCGACGCCACCUGCGGCAAGCGAUGAGGGUGGGAGAUGGCCCGGAGGAGCCAACAGACACCGCUGCCUCGCGCACUCAAGAGGAGGUGCCCCCUCUCUAGGGCUAUCAGAGAGCGCCGGAGGUGGGCAGCCCCAAGCCGCGGCUCUGACUAUUGAAGAAGAGGACCAUCAUGGAGAGAAAUGGCGCAGAGAGAAAGCCCUGGGGAUGUUCCCAGGGCUUUCCCUUUUCAUUUCCUCUGUGUAAACCAAAGGUUCCUUCGGCAGUCCUGGAACAGCGUGCUUGCGAGGGGGGGCUUGAAGUCAGAAGACCCGGUUCCAGCGGCACCUCGGCCUCUUCCCAGCUGUCCAGUCGCCUCCCGGGCCUCCGUCCCCGCUCAGUGAGAUGGAGGUGUUGGACAGAAUGCCCUUUGAAGCACCCCUCUCCGUCGUCCAGCCUCCAGCCUCUGCGUGUGGCCGGAGCCUUCGUUAGCCUCCCCUCGGAGCGUGUUGCAGGUCCUCCGGCAGCCAGCAGCCAUCGUGGGCUUUCACGGAAGUGUUAUCAAUUUUUAAAGAUCUCUCUAGGAGACUGUGAAGAUGGCGGGGAACCUUGGAAAUGGUCCUGGGCUAAUCAGAUUGAGGCCAAGGAGUGGCACAAUGGAUGGAGCUUCUCCAGAAUCAGGAAGACUUGAAUUUAAAUUAUGCCACAUGACCUCUGCCAAGGCACUUAACCGCUUGGUGGUCUCAGUUUCCUCAUCUGUAAAAUGGCCAUCAUAAUAGCUCACACUCGGGGUUAGUGAGGGGAUCACAGGAGUUCACCUAGGCAAAGCACUUUGCAAAUAUUCAUGGACUAUGUCGAUGCUAUUAUUAUGAUCAUCAUUAUUGUUAUCGUCUCUGUACAUCUGCGCCAACAUUUUGCUCUGUCCCCAACUGAACUCAACAAGCAUUAUUUAGUGCCUGCUAUUUCCCUAGCACCAUGCUAGGAGCUGAUGAAACAAAGGAAUAGACGAGCUUACAUUCUGCUGGGGGAGAUACAACAUUUACACAGAAUGGCAAAUACAAGAGAUAUAAAAUAAAUUAAAAGCAAUUUUCAAGGACGGGAUACUAGCAACUAGAGAAAUCAAGAACAGCCUUUGCUUUGGUGUUAGCUCUGGUGUUGAGCUUUGGAGAAAACUAGAAAUCUCUUUUAUGGGCUCGGACUAGCUGGCCUCCAGCUCUAAAUCUGUCUCUGGUGACUCCACGUCCUUCUCUUCCCUCAAGAACUCAGAGGGAGAGGCAAUGAGGGAGGGCAUGCCAGAGAUGACAGACACCCUAUGGAAAGGACUGGAGGCUGGAGAUGGAAACCACAAAUAGAGCAAUGUGACUGGAAAAUAGAAGAAGGAAUGAAUGCCUAAUCAGGGUGAAAAAGUAAACUGCAGUCCAAUGGUAAGGGAUUUUAACUGCUGAACUGAACUCUUAUUUUAUCUAAGAUAAGCUGCUGGGUCUUUUCAGUAUUGCCUUCACCAUCCAUCGCAGUUAGUCGCUUUCCCUGCACUCGCCACAUUUUGUGUUGACUUGCAUUCCUGCACCAGGCUCCCCAGGCUCCUGACAGAUAAGGAACCAUUUCCGGAGCCCACACUGGGGAGACAAUGCACAUGGAAGUAUGUGUGUUUGAUUUAAAUAGCCCCUACUGCUGAGGGUCCCAGAUGAGCCACCAACGCGUCACCCUCCUGGCAGAGGCUGAUGCAUGUACAAGGACCCACGCAUACUUUGGGUUUUUCCCGCUCAUUUCUCUUGGUGUAAAUCCCUGGGACACUCCACUGCAGACAAUCCCCAAAGCUGACAUUGGACCAUUAAUAACUCCUUGGGUAGAGCCAUUGGGGCAGCUCAGAGUCUAACUGGAAGGCUAUUUAACACAGAUCUUCCCAUUUUUCUUCGGAGGUCUUGAUAUCCCCAAGCACAAGGAGACCACCACCCCACUUCUCCAAUAAUUCAGUUCACGUUUGUUUCAGACUAUUAAAAUUUAAAAAGAGAGAAAACAGAAACUGUGAAUCAGUAGUAACAGUUUAAGCCAAAGAUUCAUGUUCCACAGAAUUCCCAGACCUAAGAAUGAGGGUCUCUUCCAUGACAGUUCCCAGAAAAUGGCUUUGUGAGUUAUUCACAUCUAGUCCCUGCUGUUCAUCCCCACCCCGAUGCUUCCUCUUUCAUGAGAUAUCCGGGGAGAAAACCUCAAGACCUGUCGUGCAAGAGGGGGCCUCAAAGGAUGCCCCCAUCACAGCUUGCAUGAUUCUGUGCAUACGGGUGGCUUCCUCUUAUUGGGACUCUCCUAGGUAGCCCCCCGGGCAGGGUCUCCCACUGUUAGAUUUAGAAGAGUCUCCACAGCCAAUCCAGGUUCAUACCUGGUGAGCACAAAUCGAGAUGAUGUUCCUCCACUCUUUUUUGUCUUUAUAUCUUCAACAUUCCUAAUUCUGUCAACUGAGGCUCCAAUCUAGGCAUGAAUCAGAGACCCUCAUCAUUCUGCCCACCAUCUUUGGAUGCUUUCCGGCUUACCAAUGGCCUUUCUUAAAACGAAGGGCCCAAACUAGACGAGAGCCGAGCACCGUGAGGAGAUGGUCACCUCCUUAUUCUUGUGGGCAAUCCUGCCCCCUUUAAGCCCGGAGCAGUUUGGAUGUGUUACAUCUGGAGUCACCUGGGUUAUUUUUGGCUUCUGUACUACACUGUUGACUCCUUUUGAGCUUGCCAGGUUCCAUUAAAACCCUUUGAUGUUUUUCAGAUAAACUGCCAUCAUUUCUGAUCCCUAGUAUAAGACUUUAUAUUUGUCUUAUUAAAUUUCAUGUUAUUGGAUCGAGCCCAAUAUUUGAGUCUCUCAGGAACCUUUUGGAUCCUGCCUCUGAGUGUGUUAGCUUUGUGGCAUCAAUAGAUUUAAUGAGGAUAACAGCUAGCCUCUACCCAAGAAAAUGAAAAUAGUGUGAAAAGAAAGACCUGGAUCCUUGGGGCACUCCAUUGAAGACCACCUGCAAAGCUGUCGUUGAACCAUUAAUGGAAACUCCUUUGGUCUGGUGAUCCAACCUGCUCUAUAUUCUUCUGUAACUAUCCCUUACCUUCUGUCCUAGUAACAACUCUUUUUUUUUCUUUUUAGAAGAUAGUUGAUUUUCCCAAUUGCAUAUAAUAAUUUUUACCAAAUUUUACCAGACAUUAUAAGAUCUGAAUUGUCUCCUGCCCUCCAUUCUGUAAAAAUGGAGAUUUGAACCCUGGACUUCAAUCCCCAGAAGUCCUUGCUCUAAUUCCCAAGAUGCCCUCUAAUCUCCCUGAAUCGCCCUGAGUGCAAGGUCAAAAUUUCUAUUUAAACUGGCUGUAAAGCCCAUUGAGCUCUCUUCCUGCUUCUGCUUCCAAAGUCUCUCUCUUGGCUUCUGCGUCUGGGCUCACGUGGCUCUACCAGGCAGGAUGUAGAGUGAGUGAUUGUGAAGGGGCUCUCUGGGCCUAGACACGUGCUUUUCUUAUUUUAUUUUGUAUUUUUUUUUAUUUCUUAAUAAAACUUCAUGAAGAUAUAAUACUUCUAGCAGAGAAACUAAUUUUAACUGCUAUAAUUCCCUCCCCGUCUUAGUAAUAACUCUAAGAAGGGCAAGGGCCAGGCAAACAAGAUUAAGUGAUUUCCCCAGGGUUACAUGGCCAGGAAGUGCUUGAGGUUAGAUUUGAACCCCAAACCUGACUCCUAACCUGGUGCUCUCUCCACUGUGCCACCUCUCUGUCCCCCUUGAUUACUAUUACUGGAGUACUAUUCAGCUCCUAGCUCUCCAAAUUCUUCCAUAAGAAAAAUAAGAGAGACUUGAGAAUGUUUUUCUACGAUCUGAGUAACCCAUAUCAGCAACAUUGCCAUGGUUUACUGGGUCGGAGCCUUUGUUCCAAAAGGAUAUUGAGUUAGUCCAGUAUGACUUGGACUUAGGGAAUCUAUGCUGGGUCUUCCUGAUCACCACCUCCUUUGUGAGAUGGUCAUUAACCGUCACUUUAGGAGCUCACUUCAGCAAAGCAUACAUUAAAAGUGGACCAAGAGGCAAGAUUCACAGGGCUGCAGCCCCAGGACGACAUGCAAAUUCAUGAAACUUUCCAUAGUUUAAAAUGAGGGUUCCUGAGUGCAAUGGAAUCUUAUUGCCCUCAGAUGAAAUGACAAAAGGGAUAGCUAUAUGCAGGGAAACCUGGAAAGACUCCAAGAAAGUGCUGCUGAGAAUAGAACCAAGAGAACAAUGCGUCCAGUGACUACAGUUCUGCAAAGACAAAACACCAGGGAUGCCUCGAGAACCAUGACCAAUGAGUGAUCAAGGAUGAUGGACUACUCUGAGGAUGGAGAACUUAGAGAAGCUUUGGAAAGUCCUAUGAAUGGAUGCAAAGUGAAAUAAAUAGAACGUGUAGAACUCCAAACAGGAUAAUCCCAAGUGUGUAAAGGAAAAUCAUAUGGAAAGGAGAAUCACAUUCUCAUAAUGCGUCUCUGCGACUAUUGAACAGGGAGGAAGACUUCUGAAGGCUUAAGGAUAAAGAACAGUGGAAAAGCCAUGCCUGAGUCAAGAAGGAGAGAAAAUAUCAUCUAUAAUGGACUAGUUCUGUUGACAUCUACCUGAAAGUCUUCAGAAGGAGAAAAAAGGAUCUGGAUUUUUUUACAAGAAAAAUGAGAAGCAAACCUGUGUGAGAGUCUCUGGCAGAGGGAUAGUAAAGGCUUAGAAAACCUGUCCAAUUUAGGAGAUGGACUAAUUAGGUGUUCAUUUGAAAUAUUUUAUGGGAGGGGACAGGACUGUUCAUUGAACAGGGAAAAAGCCAUGGAGUUCUACUUUUUGGAAUUCCUGUAGUGCCUGGAACUAGUCACAGCCCUGCAAAUAUGGUCUGAGCCUAGCAGAGAACAGCCAGAGGAUCAGCUCCCUUAUUAUUGAUAUUCUAUCUUUCUCAAUGCAGCCCAAGAUCUCAUUAGGAUCGUUGGCAGCAUCCCGUCCUCAGCCCUGUCUAAUUCAAUAUUUCUCUCAAUGAGUCAGGUAAAAGCAUCCUUCUCCAAUGGGCUGAUGACACAAGGCUGGGAGGGAUAGAAGCCAAUAUUUGAUGACAGACUCAGGCUUCAGAGUGAUCUCUUCGUCCCAGAAUGAUAGACCAAAGCAAGAAGAUGACCGGUGAGGAUAAUGACUGUGGCCAUAUUAAACAAGGAUGUAGGUAGGGCAAGGCCUAUAUUUAGGGCAGGAGAGAGAAAAAUCAAUUCCUUAAGUACAGAUUGGGAGAGGCCUGUCUUAAUGGCAUUUCAUGUGAAAGAAGACCCGAGGGCUUUAGCUGACCACAGCUCGAUAUGAGCCCACAAUGUGUGGUGGCUGCUGAAAAAUCAGAUGCGAUUUCAAGGUACAUUACUCAGGGGAUCUGGGCUCUUGUCAAUGUGGGGAGCUCCCCACCCUCCCAAUAUUAAUCCUGACCAUUGGAGGCAUCUGAUAGAGUCCUGGGUCUGGGUCAGAAAGACCUCUAAUACUCAUUAAUCCACUUCACAGAGACGAAAGGGCACCCAAUGGCUCUGGAAUUCUUGGUUCUGUUGCUAAUGGGGUAAGGAUUCAUUAAAAUAUCAUUCAUGGACCUUCUUGGGACCUCUCAGGGCAGUCUGGAGAGCUCUCCCCUGCUCUGGGGUCAGUGGGAUGCAGGUUGGAUGGUGGGGUUUAAGGAUGCCCCAGGACAGAUCCAGGCAGCCCCCCACCUCUUACUCUAUCUCCCUCGCCUACCUGUUUCUGCUCCAGUGGCUCUGGCUUACUUCCCAUUCCUUUUUCUGUCUCUAAAUUUAGCUCGCUGCUCCUGAUGGCUCCAGGAUGCCAAGGAAUUCCCCCCCUGCCCCCUUUUUCUAAGAAGAAAUUCCCAAUCUAGGUAGGCUCCCCUAAAUUCUGAAGUUGUGAAGCUAUUGCCAAAGUUCUCCCUCAUUCCUUAGCUUCAGCAAAGGGGGCUCUUGAAGUGACACUGGGAAGGUCCCAGUAAGGAGCAAUUUGUCCCUGUUAUACUACCUAAGUACUAGGAUGUAGAGCAAUGGAAGGGGGGCUUCGUAGAGUUCCCAGCUCAUAGUAGCUGCUUAAUAAGUGUUUGUUGAUUGACCAGGGAAGGGGAUAAGCAUUUAUUGAGCACCUGUGUGCAAGACGCUGUGAAAAAAACUUUACAAGUAUUAUCUCAUUUGAUCCUCGCAACCACCCUUGGGUGCCCUAUUUUACAGCUGAGGAAAUUGAGGAAGACAGACACUAAGGGAUUUGCCUGGGGUCCCACAGCUAGGAUAUGUCUGAGGCCAGAUUUGGACUCAGCCAGCAAGUCCGGUGGUGCUCCUUAGCUAUGUGGCUUUGGUCACUCCACCUCCCCAAUUUUGGACUUGUUUCUCCAUCUCUAAAAGGAGGGGUUGGUUGUUCUAGUGCCUUCCAGCAUGGGACCUCCAGUCAUCUCUGGGCUUCUUACAGGCUCACAUCUUCCUUACCCUGGUUUGAAACUCCCAUUUCCAAAGGCCUCCCAGGCCAGCAUGAAACCAGAAAGUGGGCCGCCAUUCUCUUGGCAUCCUCCCACCCGAAAGAACGAGGGCAGGGGACUGGCCUCUUUGGCCUCGCUCUUCAGUACGUUGCCAGGCCCAUCAGGAGGCCCCUCUGAGGGGCUCUUGCUCCCCAUCAGCCAGAGCUGGAGAUCCCUACAAACGGUCAGCAGUGGCCAGAGUUGGAACUCUCCCUACUCUCUAGCCCUGAUCCAUUCUCAAGGGGACUAAACCCAGGAGUCCUGGAGGAGAGGCGCAUGCACUAUCUGUGGACUACUGGGGCAGAUUUGGAGAUGAUGGCCUGGAGCAAGUGCAUUUAGUUGCAGUGAAGGUCCAGCUCCUUCUUCAUGGGGUGGAGUGACUUUGGCAUCAGCCCUGCUUCUGCUCUUCUCCCCACGCCACAGACGUCUUCCUGGGAAGAAUCUGGAUGGCAGUACCUGAAUUACUUGCACUAACAGCCUCCAACAAAUUGCUCUGGCCCUUGGAUGGAAGGGGCCCGGCGUCCUCAGGUCCAGGAGUCCAGGGCUGCCCCUUGUCGUCCCUCGCCUUCUCCCUGGCUCUCCGUCCCUUUGCCUCCCUCCUCCUUUCUCUUUACUUGCUAAGUGAAUUUUCUUGGGGAGACUUGGGGCACCGUGACACCUGCCAGAAGGAGCAGAAAUCAUCUGCCGCAGCAGAGAAGUAUUACCUUGUGGUACUGGCAGGACUGAAAUGCUGGCUCGUGCCCAGGCUAUCAGACAGAAAUAGAGUUAGAAUAAUCAUCUGUUGGGGAGUGGCUUCUCUCCAAAUGGAAACAAAUGAGGAAUAAACAGAGUCAGAAGAAAUGAGGAAGAGUUUCUGUUGAACAGUAGAUCAGGGCCACUGGACUUGGUGGCAGAGAGACCUGGGUUCAAAUCCUGCCUCUAUGUGACCUUGGGCAAAUCAUUUAAUCUUUGUGUCUCGGGAGCAGCUGGGUAGCUCAGUGGAUGGAGAGUCAGGCCAAGAGACAGGAGCUCCUGGAUUCCCUCACCCAGAUUUCCCAGCUGGGUGACCCUGGGCAAGUCACUUGACCCCCAUUGCCUAGCCCUGAUCACUCUUCUGCCUUGGAACCAGUACAUAGUAUUGAUUCUAAGGCAGAGGGUAGGGGUUAUAAAAAAAAUCAUUGUGUCUCCAUUUUCCUCUCUGUAAAAUAGUGAUAGCAACAGUACAUGCCUCAUAAGUUUGCUGUGAGGAUAAAGAGUUAAUGAACAUAAAGCAUUUUGCAAACAACUUUAUACAACUGUUAUCACAGACUCCCCGGAUGUCCAGGAUUUGAAGGCAUUUCCAGGGAUCAUUAACUUAAACCCCCUACCUCCAGACAGGAUUGAGCUUAAAUGAUCUUAGACAGUGGUUGCCUCUAUUCUAUUUUUAACAGCCUCUAGGGAGAAAAAUGGGAAAAUGCAUUUUUCAGCUUCCCUUGGUAACUUGUUCCAGUCUAAUAACAGUGAUCGGGGAAGGGGGAAGAUUGACAGUAUUAUUAACAAUUAAUUUGCAUAUUCAAAGAACUGGACAUUUCUGGAACUGCGCUUUCCCCAGAAUCUUUUCUACCCCAGACUGCUCUUUCAACAAUUGUUUAGCAAGGAAGGAAUAGAGCUGCUCCUCACAGCAGAUGAGAUGAUGGAAAUGAGCAAUUUAAAGAUGCUUAAGUCUUAGUGUGCUUCUGACUUCUCUAUCAAAGAGAGUGAUCCUUGGACUGGAAAGGAAAGCACCAAAAUGGUUAGUAGGGAUCUUAUCCUUCCAAGGGCUCAGGAUAUGGUGCCAGAGCCCCCAGCUGCCCUCCAGGAGUCCAGGAAGUCAGAAAUAGAUUACCUACAUUUUCAGGCGCAAGAUUGCUGAGCUUUGAAAAACCACAGGGAAUGGGAGAGAUAUCAAAGGACUGCAGAUGGGGAACACUUUGAUUUUUGACAAGGAGGAAAGACUGUAACCUAAAAACUAUAGGCAAGUGAGCUGAACUUCAAUUUCUGUCAAAGUUCUAGAGGCAUAAUUGAAGGGAUUAUUGGUAAACUUUUAUUUCAAGGUGGGGUGUUCGAUAAGGCAAUCAGUCAUCUCACUUCACUCAAAGGAAUUAAGAAAGCACUCCACCCCUGCUCUCUUUAUUAGGUAAGAACUCCUCUAUAGGAAUCAAUUAAAGAGAUGAGCUAGGUGUGAGCAAAACCUAGUCAUCUGUAUUGAAUCAACAGAUCAAUCAAAGAUAUUAGCCCAGGCAAGAAGCCAUUGGGUAAAAUGGAGAAUGUUGUAUAGCUCUCCUGUUUGGGAUUGGCUCAAGAAUUUGGUCACAUCAUAUGGGUUUUCUUAUGAAAUCGCAGACCAGUUCAGAACCCAAGAGAUUCUCAGAGUGAACUAGGAGAGAGCAGUUCCAUUCAAAUCCCUGAGAAGAAUCAUUUAGGGUCCAGGGGAGAAGAUUGAAGAGAUUCAAGUCCCUCUCUCCCUCCACCCCCUCAUCAGAGGAGGUCCUGGUGAACUUCGAAGGUCAGAGGAUUUGGACUUAGCAGAGUAGUAGGGAGUUGGGGGACUUAGCAGGGUAGUAGGGAGUUGGGGGACUUAGCAGAGUAGUAGGGAGUUGGGGGACUUAGCAGAGUAGUAGAGAGUUGGGGGACUUAGCAGAGUAGUAGGGAGUUGGGGUAUAAUCUUCAUCAGGAGGCAAAGACAAAGUAGAUACAUAAAAGAAAGGCAGCUCCUUCACUCUAUGAGGAGCCCAGUAAGGGGAAAAAAUGGCUCCAUCCCCAAAUAUUUCUGAGCACCCCAUGAAAGGGGUAGAAAGACUUUUAGUACUACUUUACUCCUUUGCCAUGUGUAUUCCCUAAUGGAGAGCCCACUCUCUUCUAGGCUCUGUGUGUGUUGGAGGGGGACUAUAAUAUCAGAGACUUUGGGGAGAAUGCUUUAUGCCAACUGCUUUUACUAUGUCACCUUGGGAAAUGCCCUUUUUUUGAAAGCUAGUUAAGUCCCACUGACUCAUAGAUAUAAAAUAAUAAUUCUGGAGGGAGGGUUGGAGUAUAGAUAUAGUUGAGUAUGAGAAUGAUACUCCCAUAGCUCCCUCAACAUUCUCUGGGACCCAACUUGGUGGUCCCAGUGGGUUGGAAGAGUAUUGCUCGAGAACAGGCUACAUUUAUUUUUUUUUUAAUUUAUUUAAUUAGAUGAUUUAGAAUAUUUUCCCAUGGUUACAAGACUCGUUCUUUCCCUCCCCUCCCCUCACCCCCUUCCUGUAUCUGACUUGUAAUUCCAGUGGGUUUAACAUGUGUCAUUGAUCAAGACCUAUUUCCAUAUUAUUAAUAUUUGCACUAGGGUGUACAUUUUGAAACACAAGUGAUGUGACCCCAAAGAGCUAUCAUAGCUUCAUCAGGAACAGAUCGUGCCACACCAGUCUUAUUUCCUUUUAUUUUUUCUUUUUUUGGACAGGAUUCUUGAAAUGGUAGGUUAAGGGAGCACUGCUGAAAUAAUUAUUUGUCUAGAUUUUAGCAAACCACUUGACAAAAUAUAUCAGUCUUGUGGACAGGAUGAAAGGAUUUGGGCUUGGUGUUAGUACAUUUGGGUAGAAUUGAAACCAGGUGAAUGGCUAAGCUCAAAGAAUGUUCAUUAAUGAGGAUUUCAUGUCACCUUUAAGGGAGGCCCCUAGUGGAGUGACCUGGGGGCCUGUGUUUGAUUCUGGCCUGCUUAACAUUUCUUUCGGAGAUGUAGAUGAAAGAAUGGCAUACUUAUGGAAUUUGCUGCUGACACAUAGUUGGGAGGGAUGGCUAACAUGUUAGACAACAGAUUCAAGAUAAAGGAGUAUUUUCAGACAUCUAACUUCAGCAGAGUCAAGGUAUCUUAGCACCUUCCAACAGCUGCUUGAAUUCCUUCAAGGGGCAAGACAGAGUCUAACUAUUUGACAACCCAAUUGGACUCUGAAUUUUUCUUCUCUUCCUGCCCCUCCAAAGGGAUUUGAACCAUAUCUGCAUCUGGGUCUCCUCUGCCUUUUCUCUGAAGGCUAGGAGACGGACUCUUCUUGGGGCUCCUACUGCUUUCUACUCUUUGUGAGAGUCACUGACUUCUUCUCGCCUAUCCUCUGCCUUCCCCUCACCUGCUUGACUCUACUUUCCUUUGAAGUCAUCCAGAAUUCAUCUUGGUUUUCUGAUUUAGUUUAUACAGAUGGAUUAGCUGAGCAUGGGCAGUGAUCAUAUUAACCCCAUCCCUGUUCAUUAAACUCAUGACCAAGAAGAUCCUUUUGUAGAUCCAGGGUGAGUUAACAAAUUGUAUGGCUUCUAGCUUCUCCUCUAUUCAAUUGAGUUGAUCCCAUUUUUCUUUUCCUGUUUCUAGUAGUGUGACCUUCCUAUGUAAAUGUUAAUGUAUUGCAAAACUUUUAAAACUAUAUUAAUAAAAACCCUAGAUGUCUCUGGCUUACAUUAUAGGACUGAAAUGUAACAAAAAAAAAAAAAGGAGUGUAACACUUUCAUUAAAAGAAAAAAGAAGCAUCUUUGCAAGUGCAAAAUGGAAGAAUAUGGCCAGAAGUCAUUUGGGGAAAAAUCCCAGGUUUCAGUAAGCUAAGAAUUCUAUUUGGGUCAACAGUGGGACCAUGGAGAUAACUCUGCAAGUCCAAUGUCUUGGUUGGUAGGACCAAGGAGCAUCAGAUUCAGGAUGUGGGAGAUGCUAUUUCUAGAUGGGUAUCUGGAAUGAUAUUUAGAACAUUGCGCACAGUUCUUACCCCACAUUUUAGGGAGAACAUAAUAAUCUAGUGAGCAUUCAAAGGAAGGUAAUCAUGAUGGUGAAGGACUUCAUGGCUGUAUUUUAUAAGGAUUAGUUGAAGGGACUUAGGGAGAUUUAGUCUGGAGAAGCAAAGACUUGGGGAGGGGACGAAAGCUGUCUUUAAAUAUUUGAAAGGAGGUCUUGAAGAAGGAUUAGGUCUGGUCUUGGUCUCAUCAGGUAGAACUAGGAACAAUAAUUUGCAGAGAUUAAUUAGGUUCAAUACAAAGCAACACUUUGUCAUUCUGUUGAAAGGUGUAGAAUGAUGCUGUAAAAAUUAAAAUUAGUUCUCAAUAAUAAAAAUAUGAUAUUUUAGGACAUUUAUUGAUGAUCAUUAGAAAUAAAGGAAUAAAAGGGAUACAAAAUAAAACCAUGUGCCCAUGGCUAAUCAGCCUACUUUAAAAUCCCUGAGCUUACCACCACCAAGGUUGCCGACAGGACACCAAAAGAUUGAGCCCUGCCAACCCACUGGCUAAUUUCCCCUGUCUACAGGAAGUACGUGAUGACAGGAAGUCAGUGGGCUCCCAGGAAAUGUAGUAUUUUUAGGGUAAAAGAUUUCCAAUUACACAGUGCCUUAGAGGAUGUGAUGUGAUGUUCUCCCUUGCUACAAGAGGUCUCAGCUUGUUCCUACAUAUUACAUGUCAGUCAAUUGUUGCUUCCCUCUCUCUGGUAGUUGCUCCUAUUAUUUUCAGAAGUCUAGGAAUGGAAAUUUUCUCUCUGCAACCCCUUUUCCUGGUUGCUGCCAUCUCUAGGGCCCUAUGCUUUGUUCCUCCCCUUAGGUCCACAUGAUUUCCUUUCUAGGAAAUCCAAAGUGGCCUCUGAACCUAUCAUCUUUGGGUUUGAAUAGAUUCCCUAGAAAAGGCUUAUAAGAAUUUAAAAUUUAGAUUUUUAUGCUAAUAUGAGAAUUCUAUAGUAAUAUUGUGGCAGCUGAUUUAAGAUAUUAUAAUUUAAAUCAAAAUGACUUUUAGUAGCUUUAUUUACAAAGAGGUAGAAAAGCUGAAAGUGGGAAAAUGUAGGAAGAAGGUAGAGAAUUAUCUAGCCUAUAACCCUAAAGGCUGCUCUGGUGUGGGGCUUAGCCUCAGCAGGGCUUCACCACAUCACUUGUCCAUCCUGCUCCCCAAGGCAGAGUUUCCAAAGGUGAAAUUCCCAGCAGAAGUCCUCCAAAGAAGCAUUCCAGAAGUCAAGAUCCAAAAGUGAACCCAAAGUCCCAAGACCAAGAUCCAAGGUGAUGGUCCCUUGGACAGGAAGUUCAGGACUUUUUACAGUCCUUUUUCCACAUCACUUCCUGUCCCUCCACUUUAUAGGAACCAAUUGCAGUCUUUCAAUUUGCCUAGCACUGCCUAAGGGGUGGUCAGUGGCUUCUGGAGUUGUCACCUACUCUGGAAAGUGACUUGUGAACUCUCCUACUUAGUGACUGGUAAGGUACUCCAAGUUCUUGUUUGAUUAAUUUAAAAGUUGCUGAUUGAAAGACAAAGAAAGUUUGAUUUACUCUUCACAGACUGCAUAGAAAAGCAGACUCUCCCUCCCUGGUGACCAUAUUUUAUCCUUGGCCUCUGCUUGGUCUCCACUUUCUCUGGACCUCUGAUCUCCGAUAAACAUGUCGGAUCCCUUUUGUAAACCCAAGUUAAAGGUAAAUAACCAUAUGGAAUGUUAGUCAGGACUGGUGAGGUGAAUAAGAAGCUUUGGUUCUGCCUUUUAUGAGAGUGAGACCCUAUGAGAGGUGUAGACACCUUUAUUAACAACAAAGAAUAUUUCUGGUGGGGUGUAGGAAACACCCUUGAUCUAGAGAUUUAUUGAUCCAUUGAUCUCAUAAAAGGAUGAUUUGGUUACUGUACAUCUGAGCCAUAUUCUUGGGAAAAGAAUAUUCUGGGGAAUAGCUUUCUUGGGUGAAAUAGUUCACACAACCACCCAUUGUUGGGAAGAGACAUCAGUUUGUAAAACUGACCAGGGCUCGAGUGAGGAGGGAAUUUAGAGGUCAUCUUGUCCAAACUCCUCAUCUUCUAAAGCAAGAAACUGGGUUCAGUGAAGAUUGGCCGAAGGCAGGUGUAGGAUCUUUGUCCUACUAAUGGGCUCCUUGGAAAGAAGGGAUCAGUUGGAGAAACUGGUUUGAAAGACAGAGGGGGAGUCACUUGGGUUUGAAACUAGACAAGAUAGCAGAGAUCACAGGCAUGGUGGGGCUCGGUUUAAAAACAGAGGAAACAGGAGUUUAGCACACUGGAAAGUUUGACAAGAGAAUCUCUCUGGUCUUUUUUAUCUUUUAUCUGAAAAAUGCUAUUUUUGCUGAUUCUAUGGAACUUUCUAACUUUUGGUAGUUCUGAAAAAAUUGCCUAUGGCUGUAUAUUUUUUCCUCCCGGAGCUGGGGUGGCUGCCUGACCCCUCCUAUUUCUUUUUGAGUCUAAGUCUCAGUGAUCUCAGACCACACCACAUUUUGCAUCCUUUAUUUGUGCUUUCUCUCUGAUCAUCCCUGACCUGAUUCUCAGGUUUACUCUUCUCAGAUCUCUCAAGUUGACUCUGGAGACUACAGUCUUUUCUGAUCUCAAUCAACCAACAAGCAUUCAUCGAGCAUCAACUCUGUACUAGGCACAGGCGAUACAAAGAGAUCAAUGAAAAUGCUCUCCCCCGCCUUGCUCCCUGCCUUCAAGAAGCUUACAUUCUACAAUAUGCUUACAUAUAAAUUUAUAUCAUAUUCUGGCUUGACCUGGUCCAAUGGUUUUAUUGGCAUGUGGCUCUCCCAGGAAGGGAUCUCCCUCUUCCAAAAAGUAUCCUCACCAGUGCUAUAAAUGACAGUUUUAGAAAUUUGCCUUGGGUAUUGAGAAAUUCUUUGGCUUGCUUAGGAUCACAUAGACUGUGUCUAAAGCAUGAAGAAAGCAGGUGUGGGAGUGGGUCUUGUGCUUUAGGUUUGACACCCCCUUUGAUCAUCAGUUCUUAGAGAUUGAUUCAGGAUGUAGUGCACUAGUGGGUUUGGAGUCAAAGGACCAGAUUUUUAAACCUGGUCCUGUUACUUAGUAUCUGAGUGACCUUGGAUAAGUCACUUAACUUUACUGGGCUUUAGUUUUCUUAUUUGUAAAAUGAAGGGGUUGGACUAGAUGGUCACUUAGAUUCCUUCCAGCUUCAGAUCUGUAUCUUUCUUAUUCCUUCUUCCACAAUUCCCUUAGUGCCUAGACCUAUGCUGACAUAUAGGAGUGCCUUAACACAUUUCUGUUAAUUUAGCAAUUGGUUGUUGUAUUCUAGAUUGUUUUUCUAGUAAGAGUGAUGAAUUUAUACUGAUCCAACCAUCCACCUGCAGAGACAGCUGAGUUCAAACCUGGCCUUAGAUAAUCACUAAUUGAGUAACUAGACCCUGGGAAAGUCAUUUAACUCUGUUUGCCUCAGUUUCCUCAACUAUAAAAUGAAGAUAAAAAUAGUACUUACCUUGCAGAGUUGUGAGGAUAUUUAUAGAGUGCUCAGCUCAGCUCAGCUACUUCCACCUAGCAGAUACUUAAUAAAUAUCUAUUCUCAGCUUCUUCCCUCUUCCUAUCUUGCUCUAGCUCCCAGUGACCAAAGAUGGGCAUUUUCAGGUUGGCUACUGUAACAGUUAAGUUAGUUUCUCCACUAAAAGUAUUUAAACUGACUGUACCGCCUACUUGGUCUCUCUGCUUCUGCUUCUAAGCACACACGUCUCUCAGGAUGUAGUAAGUGAAACUGAAUGGGCUUGCUUAUUGAUUUGUAUCUUUGAUUUCUAGUAAUCUUUGGUGAACCUCUAAAAAUAUAAUACUUUUAGUAGAGAAACUAAUUUAAAUGUUACACUACUCAGGCUAGGUUUUCUGAGCAUGGAUCAGAGUAAAACUCUUAUUGAAAAAAGCUCAUGAGAAGAGGAAAUGUGAUCUUAGCCCUGUCAAUGCCAUGCUUCAAUCAACCAAAUGCUCUAGCAUGUAUGUCUUCCUUGCUUAAUUAAUAAGCAGUGGAACACUAGAGAAGCACCAUCCCUUCUCUUCCUCAAAGCUUCUCACUUAGUACUUCCUAUACUUGUCAGUGGUCAUCCACCAACCAAGGAGGUCUCCCAUUUAAACUGUAGCCUUGGAAAUGCAGCCCUGUGCAUCAUCUAUGGGGAGUUAUGUAAAGCAUCACUCAGGCAAUGUAAUGGAGCAGAGCUUCGAGUUCAGGGCCAGCCUUGCUAAUGGCUUCAGGGGUCCUCAGCCAGGUGUGAUGAUGAAGGCAUAAAUGAGUGAUGGAAGACAGCUAUGUGUAUCAGCCUGGGGCCAAGCUUUGCAUGGAACUGCUUCACCAGGCCCAGGGUUGGCUUUUAUUUUUAUACCCCAAUGAAUACAUAUUUUUUGGCACACAGUCACAUUAUUCAACAUACAUGUUCAAAGCAUAUAAUAGGAAUCUUUUGAUUAACAUUCUGUGAUCAUUCUAUAUACUUAUAUUGUUACUAUUGAUUUUGACAACAUACACAAAGCUUUUGUAAAAGAUAAAUGAUUUCAUCACAGGUGGUGUAGAGGUCAGUUUUUUUUUUCAUUAACUUGUGAGGUGCUUGAGCUUGUGGACAAUCAAAGAAAAUAAUUUGUUACUUUUUAAAAUUUGUUACUUUUAAUAAAAAUAGAUAAUCAAUCAAAAGUUCUAGAAGAUAAUCAACAAACAUUGUAGCCAAGUUGAGGGAUCAAAGGGGUAAUAGAAACACAAAUUAGUUUUAAUAUUGGACUAAUCUUAUUUCAGUAGUUCAUGGGGAGUUUCCAAGAUGGAUUUUGGUUGGUACACCAAGUCAGAGGCAUGGUGUACAAGCCUCUCUCUAGGAUGAUUGAUGCACUGGCUUAGGAGAAUUUGUUCUGUGCAUGGGAGUGGGGAAUUUCUGAACACAGCUUUGUUAGAAGUUAUAUGCAUAAGCAGAAGUUAACUCAUCAUAGUCUUUAGGGUUUGGUUUUGUAAGUAUGAUCUUUUGGUGGUAUUCUGGGGGAAUAAUGUGGAGCAUUAAUAUUAAUCCUGUAAAUAUUUUUCUCUCAUAUUAUUUUUUCCUGAAGCUAGGGAGAGAAUAAUAUUCAUAGCAAUUCCAAUAGAAAGGGAACUUAGUAGGAGAAGUCACAUAAAAGGGGGGGCUAAGUGGGUGUCAUAUCUUUCCAAGGAGCCACUUUGUGGUCUCCUGGUUUCUACGAGUGACCAUGUCAAAACAUCGUGGCUUGACAGCCCCCUAGUAGAGCACCAGAGUCCUUUUAGAUUCCAGGAGACCUUAUCCCAGUCCCUCUUGUACUGGCAGAACAGGUCCCAAGAGUGAGCCUGGCUACACCUUCUUCUCAGAGUUCUCAGUGACAGGGAAUCGGCUUUUCCCCACUCAUUUUGCUACCCUAGGAUGGCAGCAAGGCUUGAGUCUCCCAAAUACCUUCAGAGAUAAUGGUGAUUUAAACCUUAAUGGAAAGAGAAAAACCAGCUUCUACCUUCCAGGCCUGUGCGUAGCCCACUGAACCACAGGACCUUGCAGCAACAUGUAAUUGAAAUACAGAAAUAGGAAGGUAGAAGACAAAAGCUGGAUCCAGGGGAAUUAGGUUUGGCCUUAGAUAGUUAACAGUGUUUUAGAGUCCAGAUUACAUAGUUUGUAGCUGUGCAAAUUUUGUUCCUUCAGAUUUAUCCAACAGCUUGAAGGGAGCUUCUUAAAACUCAUGGCAUUUGUACGUUGGUACCUUCAUCUAUUGGCAUUAAAAUAAUUCUACUGAUGCCUUCUUAUUUUAUGUCACAGAUAUUUCCUGAUGUAUUGCUCCUUCAUUUAUCCUCUUCCCCCUUAGAAUUCUAGAAUAAAGAAAAAUGAGUUAAGCAAAACUGACUAAUAGCAUGGUCAUGUCUGACAGCAUAUACAGCAUUCUGUCUCCAGUAUCUCUCUCAAAAGAAGCAUGCAUUUCCUCAUUUGCUUUCUGAAAUCCCAAUUGGUUGUUGUAUAUAAUUUGAUUUCAGCUUCCUUUUAGUAUUGCUUUUGUUCACAUUAUUGUAGCAUCUUCUCUUGGUCCUUUCUUUUUCAGUCUCUAUCAGUACAAAGACAUCUUCUCAGGCUUCUCUGAAUUCCUCAUUUUUUAUCCUUUUUUUUGUUGACCAAUCACUGUCCAUUAUAGCCUAUGUCUCUGUUCAUUCAUUCUCCAGUUGAUGGGUACCCACUUUGCCUUAAGUAUUUUGUUUCCAUGAAAGUACCAUCUGCUGCUGUUGGUAGCACUAACUGAACAAUUGUUGUUGUCGUUUUUAAGAAUGUGAGGCAUUUUCCAUGUGUGAUAUGUGUGACUAGAAUCAUAAUCUAAAACUGCUUCUGGCGACAUCUUGGUUUUAUUAUAUUACAUUAUUUCCCACAAGUUAAAUACUUUCCAAAUUCCCUUGAAAGUUUGACUGCGGUAUUUCUUCUUAUCAAGACAGGAGUCUCCUUUCUAGUCCAAGUCAUCUUCCCCUUACUCAGGGGAGGAGACAGUAUGGAAAGUGUUGGAAUCAAAAAACCUCAAAAAUGUGCAUGAAAAGCUUCAUCUAAUCAUCUGAAAAAUGAGAAGCCUGAGCAAAAGCAGGACUGUAACUUACCGGAUGACCAUAACAACAUCAAGGAAGAUGACUUUGAAUUCAGAACUUGGACUAAUGCAAUGACCAGGCAUUUCUUCAGAAGGCUGAUGGCAAAGCACCCAUCCUACCUCCUGGCAGAGAUUUGAUGGACAAAAGACAUACACAUAACCAAUGUAUUGAUUGCUUUUUCUUGGUUGGACUUACUUGUAUCCAGGGAGGGUAAAAACAAGAAGGCAGGAGGAAGCUAAAAAGUAAACAGGACAAUUUUGUUAUUAUUGCAAUAAAUUUAAUACACACUUCAGUCUCAUGCAAUCCUUCAUGUUUGUCAAGUUUGCAAUAAAAAUGAAAUUAAGAAAUAGUAGAUGUUUUUAGCUGGGAAGUUCAGGAACUUGUUUUAAAACCUAUU